ACGAGCCCUGGAACACAAGUUGGACAGUUUUUAAAGGUCCCUGCGCUCGCCAAGAGAAGGAAAUAGAUGCUCAGGAGUGAAAUACCGAGAGAAUCGGAUCUGGCGCCUCCUAACGCAGCUGGCAAGCAGGCGAAGGUCCCGUGUAGAUUGAAGUAUCAGGGCAGCUUACAUACAGCCUGAGCGUCUGGCUUUGGGCAUUUGGGGAAGACUUUGCGAGAGUUCUACAUCUCCCUGAGCGAGGAUCUGAAGGAAACUUGGAAAUAACAGGAAAUGUCCCGGGGCCCCUGGGUGGCUCAGUCGGUUAAGCUUCCAACUUUGGCUCAGGUCAUGAUCUAUGAUCUCAAAGUUGGUUGGUGAGUUCAAGCCCGCAUGGGGCUGGCUCUGUGCUGACAGCUCAGAGCCUGGAGCCUGCUUUGUAUUCUGUGUCUCCUUUCUCUGCCCCUCCCCUGCUCAUGCUCUUGUCUCUCUCUCUCUCUCUCUCUCUCUCUCUCUCUCUCUCUCUCUCUCUCUCUCAAAAAUAAUAAAUGUUAAGAUAGGUAGGUAGAUACAUAGAUAGACAGAUACAUAGAUGGAAGACUCUGAGGAGACUGACCUUGGUCUUAGUUCACUACUUAUCCUCAGUCCCUAGGGCUUAGUUCAUAAAAUCUCUAUUUUCAGCUUCACUAAAUCUUAAACUGUACCUCUUUGAAGAUGCAAAGUUCUAAGAGGUUCUCUGAAAGUGCAACAGACAAGGUGGUGUGCCUGGGGAGGUGGUGCUCUACCCCUUUCUAGCUCCAAAGCCCAGGCUCUCCUCCACUCCAUCCCAGACUGCCUGGCCAUCUCAUGAGAUCUCCUGGGCAGAAAUUGAGUCACGGGGCCAAGGGGUGAGGGGAGGGGGGACAGGGGGCAGGGAACCAGCUGUCAUCGCAGGCAGCUGAGGCCUGCGAACCCCCUGGUCUGAGAGGCCCCUGGAGUUGCUGAUGCUGGGUGGGGAGAGGGGAAGCCGCUCUUUGCAUGUGAGCAUGGCUUCCCCAGGGCGAUGCAGGGGUUUUAUCACUGGUCACUAGCCACUUGGUGUCCCGGCUUGAUGGCCUGGAGUCUGGAGACCCUGGGCGGAAGGGACAGUGGCACAGAGCCUGCUGUGGGGGCAGGGCUGGGGCUGGUAGUGCCUCUGGGUCAACAGCAGCCCCAGAAUGACCUAGCGGGCCUUAGACCUCUGCUCCUGAUCUCUGGAAUCCAUUCAUCUGCCUGAGCCUUGACUUCAGCCCCUGCAUCUCCCACAGGCGAUCAUGCUUAAUGUCUGCCCUGGGCGUGGCAAGGACGCUUCAGCAGAGUUUUGUGAGUCCUCCACUCACCUGGGUCAACUUACCCACCACCGAUAAUAAACUCUUAGAAGAAAGUUUGAUGCUCCUUUUGUUAACACCACAAUCCUAGGCACUCAAUAGAGGCACAGCAAAGAGUAGAAUCCUCAGUCCUUCAAAGGUCCUGACUUCUUAGCCUGUAAGUUGUGUGCCUGUAGGUAAGUGACUUCACCCCUCUUAAUCUCAUUAUCAUUUCUACAAUGGGAAAAUAAUAGAUGUUUGGGAGAAUGAAAUGAAACCACAGAAACCCCAGUCAUCACACGACCUCGUUCCCUUUUCUGCUUUCAUUUUCUCUAGCACUGAUCACCAUCUAUCAGAUCUUUUAUUUAUUUGUUGUUUUUCUCCUCCCACUAGGAUGUCAACUCCACAAAGCGGCAAUUUUAAUCUUUUCUGUCCACCUCUGUACCCCCACACCUGUCAAAUAGAACUGAACCCAUGAGAUUCUCAAUAAAUAUUUGUUGAAUAAAUGAAUGGAUGGAUGCAAAGUGAUUAGCACUUGGUAAGUGCCCCAUAAUGAUCGCUAGUUUACCAUUGUGAUUAAGCACUCAGUCUCUGGAAUCUAACUGAAAGCGGAAUAAUUGAGGCAGGAGAAAUUUAGCAUCACGAUAGGAUGUUGGCACUCAAGCUGAGAAAUCCUGUGUGCAUCAUUUACUAGCUGUGUAAUCUGGUACAAGUGACUUUGCUUUCCUAAGUAAGGCUCAGUUUUCUCAUCUGUAAAAUGGAGGUAAUAAUAGCACCUCCCUGGUAGGAUGUGAAGAUAGGAUAAGAUGGUAAUGUAAAGCAUUUAGUAGAGUGUCUGGUAUAUAGUAAGUGCUCAAUAAACAGUAAUCAUCAUUAUUCAUUAUAGUAAUACUCAGAUGAGAGGUGAUGUCUAAGUCAAUUAAACCAUUGCUAAGCACUCAAAUAUGUCAGGGUCUAGCAGGCUCAAUUAAUGUUUAUUGACUUCGAUCUGUGAGCUCCUCAAGGAAAGAGAUUGUGUUUACAUUGUCAUGAUAUUGGCCUACAGUAGAUAUAUGAAGACAUGCUGGAAAAUUUACAUUCUGGAUUCAAAUAUCAGUGAGAACAUGGAAGAGCUACUAGAAUAAUAAGAAUACCAACGUCCUACUGUGCGCCAGGCACAAUGUUGGUUGCUGGAGAUAAGGCAAUGAGCUCAAACAAACAUUGUGGCUAUGACUUUCAGGCUAGUGAAACUUAGCAGAGUUGACAGACUUUGUUCCAAUAAUUGCACAGACAGAUGGAACAUUGCAACUAAGUGUAUCAUGACAAGGAGGUAUAGGAGGCUCUGACAUAUAGAAUGUGGGCAUGGAGAGGAUGGGGUUGACCUGGUCUUGGGUUGAGGAGGAAGUCAAGGAGCUUUUGUCAGCAUAGAGCUGAGCCCCAUGGAAAGAAGAGGUCUUGGCUAGGCUGAGGGUAGGGGAAGUGUUCUCAGCAGAAAAAAUAGCAGAUGUAGAGGCCUUAUGAUGGGGGAGUCCAUGUACUAAAGGAACUGAAAGAAAGCCUGGAUGAUCCCAAUGUAGUGAGCCGAUGGCAAGGGACAGGGGUGAAAUAAACUGGAAAUAGAAGUCGGCACUUUGGAAAUUAAUUGGGCAAUGUGUGGUAAAGCUGAAAGAGUGUACAACCUAUGAUCCAGCAAUUCCAACUCUAGGAACAUUCUAGAGAAACAGCCACGAGUGCACUGGGAAGCAUGAACAAGGAAGUUAGCCCUAGCCGCAUUGUAUGCAGUCUCAAAAAAACAGUGAAACAACCCAAAUGUUCAUCAACAGGAGAAUGGACAAAUUGCAGAAUGUUUUCCUUGGGUUCCUCAGAAAGCAGUCUGCACCAAAAGUUAGUGUAGUACUCCUUUAUCGGAGAAUGCAGUCCUGAGGAAGCAAGAGAGAGGAAAAGGGGCAGUGAGACAGGGAAAGAGGGUGAGUCCGUAUGAGGGUACCAAGGAGUGGCCAUAUUUACCACAGCAUCUUGGACAGUUCUGGGGGUCGGAAGAAGGGAAGAGAAUUAUCUGCUGGCUCCUGGUCCAACGUUUGCCCCAAGGGGUGUAAACCCCCCCCCCCACUUGGAGAUUACCCAUGUGUAAGCACCUCGGACGCCCCUUAGUGCUGCACAUGUCUGCCACAAGGAGAAGCCCGAGAUGGAAUCUAGUUGGCCAGAGCCCACACAGAAUCGGUCACCGUGUAAGGGUCAGGAUGGAACAGGUCACCAAGGGAGAUUGUCUGAGAAGGCAGGCUGAGAAGAGCUGAGGAGGCCUGUGACGUAUGUGAUGUAAUACCAAAUAGUAUACAGCAGUGAAAGAGACGUAUAGCUGCGUACGUGCACAUGAAGACUAGCCAAACAAUGUUGAGUUGAAAGGCAAGUUGCAGAAGAAGGUACAAGGUAAAGUUUAUUUAUAUAAGGUUCAAAAAGAAGCCAGUGUAGACAACAUGUAUAAAAAAGCA